AAAUUGAAGAGUUUGAUCAUGGCUCAGAUUGAACGCUGGCGGCAGGCCUAACACAUGCAAGUCGAGCGGUAGCACAGAGAGCUUGCUCUCGGGUGACGAGCGGCGGACGGGUGAGUAAUGUCUGGGAAACUGCCUGAUGGAGGGGGAUAACUACUGGAAACGGUAGCUAAUACCGCAUAACGUCGCAAGACCAAAGUGGGGGACCUUCGGGCCUCAUGCCAUCAGAUGUGCCCAGAUGGGAUUAGCUAGUAGGUGGGGUAAUGGCUCACCUAGGCGACGAUCCCUAGCUGGUCUGAGAGGAUGACCAGCCACACUGGAACUGAGACACGGUCCAGACUCCUACGGGAGGCAGCAGUGGGGAAUAUUGCACAAUGGGCGCAAGCCUGAUGCAGCCAUGCCGCGUGUAUGAAGAAGGCCUUCGGGUUGUAAAGUACUUUCAGCGAGGAGGAAGGCGUUAAGGUUAAUAACCUUGGCGAUUGACGUUACUCGCAGAAGAAGCACCGGCUAACUCCGUGCCAGCAGCCGCGGUAAUACGGAGGGUGCAAGCGUUAAUCGGAAUUACUGGGCGUAAAGCGCACGCAGGCGGUCUGUCAAGUCGGAUGUGAAAUCCCCGGGCUCAACCUGGGAACUGCAUUCGAAACUGGCAGGCUAGAGUCUUGUAGAGGGGGUAGAAUUCCAGGUGUAGCGGUGAAAUGCGUAGAGAUCUGGAGGAAUACCGGUGGCGAAGGCGGCCCCUGGACAAAGACUGACGCUCAGGUGCGAAAGCGUGGGGAGCAAACAGGAUUAGAUACCCUGGUAGUCCACGCCGUAAACGAUGUCGACUUGGAGGUUGUGCCCUUGAGGCGUGGCUUCCGGAGCUAACGCGUUAAGUCGACCGCCUGGGGAGUACGGCCGCAAGGUUAAAACUCAAAUGAAUUGACGGGGGCCCGCACAAGCGGUGGAGCAUGUGGUUUAAUUCGAUGCAACGCGAAGAACCUUACCUACUCUUGACAUCCAGAGAACUUAGCAGAGAUGCUUUGGUGCCUUCGGGAACUCUGAGACAGGUGCUGCAUGGCUGUCGUCAGCUCGUGUUGUGAAAUGUUGGGUUAAGUCCCGCAACGAGCGCAACCCUUAUCCUUUGUUGCCAGCGGUCCGGCCGGGAACUCAAAGGAGACUGCCAGUGAUAAACUGGAGGAAGGUGGGGAUGACGUCAAGUCAUCAUGGCCCUUACGAGUAGGGCUACACACGUGCUACAAUGGCAUAUACAAAGAGAAGCGACCUCGCGAGAGCAAGCGGACCUCAUAAAGUAUGUCGUAGUCCGGAUUGGAGUCUGCAACUCGACUCCAUGAAGUCGGAAUCGCUAGUAAUCGUAGAUCAGAAUGCUACGGUGAAUACGUUCCCGGGCCUUGUACACACCGCCCGUCACACCAUGGGAGUGGGUUGCAAAAGAAGUAGGUAGCUUAACCUUCGGGAGGGCGCUUACCACUUUGUGAUUCAUGACUGGGGUGAAGUCGUAACAAGGUAACCGUAGGGGAACCUGCGGUUGGAUCACCUCCUUACCUUAAAGAA
rnacentral:rRNA from 1 species